rnacentral:siRNA from 1 species
UGGAGUUUAGGUGUUAGUAUC